CCUUUGCAAUGUGGAUGAACCCACAUUUCUUUUUCUUUUUGCUACAUGGAUAGAAACAUUUUAUAAAUGGCCUCUGCAUCUUUAUCACCGAGUGAAAGCCUCCUCUUACUAUCAAUGAAGUUCCUACAAUCUUUAGGGAGGCACUCUAAAUUUUCAAGCUCGCCUUUUUGAACAUCAAGCAAUCAAAUACUCUUGCAUAACCUUAUUCUAGUAGUAUCAUUUUCUUCUAGAGACCUCUUCAUUUAAAUACUCAAGUUCCUAUUGCUGGGCAUCAAUCUCGACGUGUUAGGAUCAAAAUCGUGGUUGUGAUCAUAAAUUUAUUUAGAAACCAUCCAAACACCACCUUUCAUAACUGCAUUUAUCCUUGCAAAACAAUUUAUUCUCUUGGAUACUUUCUUUGUGUAUGCUCCUUUAUCACAAUUAAUUGUUUGGUACUUAUAAUGCCAUUUUUUAUCCUUACUAGCUGAUUACUUUGCUACACUAAAAUCCUUCAACAUGCCAUGAAAUCUUUAAGCAUGAAAUAAGUUAUUAAUAUUGACAACAUCAUUCCUAGAUUAGGGCCUUCUUUAAAGUUCAUAUUAUUGCUGCAUUUGAUUUCAUUAAUUAAAUAAUCAUUAUGGUUCAUAAAGUCAUUUGAAUAAUCACUGAAAAUAUUUUCUAUUUCAUUUUUUCUAGAAUCAACAUCUUGUGCAUCUUCCCCUAUAUAGCCAGUACUUGCCUCUUCUCCUCCUUCUUCAUUGUUUAUUGCAUCUAGGUUACCAUGGCUUCCAUUACCACCUUCCAUCAAACUAUAGUUUUCACAUAAGCCAAAUAUCUCCUCCAUUAAUUGAUCUAUGUAUCAAUUAUUAUACAUAUCCUCUAUUGAACAUGCACUUUUUGUUGUUAAGAAAAUUGAAAGAGAAAUUCACUUUAGGUUACAAAAAUUG
rnacentral:lncRNA from 1 species